AGAGUUUGAUCAUGGCUCAGGAUGAACGCUGGCGGUAUGCCUAACACAUGCAAGUCGAACGAUGUCUUCGGACAUAGUGGCGGACGGGUGAGUAACGCGUGAGAAUCUGCCUCUAGGAUGGGGAUAACGGUUGGAAACGACCGCUAACACCCAAUAUGCCGUAAGGUGAAAAAUUUAUUGCCUGGAGAGGAGCUCGCGUCUGAUUAGCUAGUUGGUGGGGUAAGAGCUCACCAAGGCCUCGAUCAGUAGCUGGUCUGAGAGGAUGAGCAGCCACACUGGGACUGAGACACGGCCCAGACUCCUACGGGAGGCAGCAGUGGGGAAUUUUCCGCAAUGGGCGAAAGCCUGACGGAGCAAUACCGCGUGAGGGAGGAAUGCCUUUGGGUUGUAAACCUCUUUUCUCAGGGAAGAAGAUCUGACGGUACCUGAGGAAUAAGUAUCGGCUAACUCCGUGCCAGCAGCCGCGGUAAUACGGAGGAUGCAAGCGUUAUCCGGAAUCAUUGGGCGUAAAGCGUCCGCAGGUGGUUUCCAAAGUCUGCUGUUAAAGACUGGAGCUCAACUCCGGAACGGCGGUGGAAACUUGGAAACUAGAGUUCGGUAGGGGUAGCAGGAAUUCCCAGUGUAGCGGUGAAAUGCGUAGAUAUUGGGAAGAACAUCGGUGGCGAAGGCGUGCUACUGGACCGUAACUGACACUCAGGGACGAAAGCUAGGGGAGCGAAAGGGAUUAGAUACCCCUGUAGUCCUAGCUGUAAACGAUGGAAACUAGGUGUGGCUUGUAUCGACCCGAGCCGUGCCGUA
rnacentral:rRNA from 1 species